UACGUAGGGGGCAAGCGUUGUCCGGAAUCAUUGGGCGUAAAGAGCGCGUAGGCGGUCCGGUAAGUCCGCUCUGAAAGUCCGGGGCUCAACCCCGGGAGGCGGGCGGAUACUGUCGGGCUAGAGUCCGGAAGAGGCGAGUGGAAUUCCUGGUGUAGCGGUGAAAUGCGUAGAGAUCAGGAAGAACACCCGUGGCGAAGGCGGCCCACUGGGCCGGUGCUGACGCUGAGGCGCGAAGGCGUGGGGAGCGAACGGG
rnacentral:rRNA from 1 species